CAGUCGCCACGGGAAUACAGAGGGUGCAAGCGUUAAUCGGAAUUACUGGGCGUAAAGUGCGCGUAGGUGGUUUGUUAAGUUGGAUGUGAAAUCCCCGGGCUCAACCUGGGAACUGCAUCCAAAACUGGCAAGCUAGAGUAUGGUAGAGGGUGGUGGAAUUUCCUGUGUAGCGGUGAAAUGCGUAGAUAUAGGAAGGAACACCAGUGGCGAAGGCGACCACCUGGACUGAUACUGACACUGAGGUGCGAAAGCGUGGGGAGCAAACAGGAUUAGAUACCCCAGUAGUCCCUGUCUCUUAUAC
rnacentral:rRNA from 1 species